GUACUAGUAUCUGAAUAUUUUUAGUAGGUAACUGAUUGUGGUGUGCUAGUUUAUCAUCUGAAAUAUUCUAAAUGUAUUUUCCAGUAGCAGUGUCAGAAAAGUGAUGCAUUUGUUAUGAUUUUUGGAUAGUUUGUCACAAAAAUAUAUGCAGAGGUAUGUAUGACAUACAUGUAGAUAGACUGAGCAGCGGUCUGUCUAUAUACCUUUAUAUUGAUAGCUGCAACACUGGACAAGAACUGUCAGCAGGGUAUGUUGACAAGUCAAACUAGCAUUGACAUGAUGCUUUAAUGGCACAAAACAGAAUGGCAGGUAACCAGGCAAUGACUUGUUUCAAUAUGCAGAUUUCAUAAUUCAUUGUUCUAGUCAUACAAUUUCAUAUCUGUUGAAAUCACUUGAUAUUUUAUACCUAAAGUUUCCUAUUUUAUAAACAUUCUUGAUUUUACAUUUUACUUCUAAUAUAUAAACUUGUUUGAUAUGAAUUAUUUUUAUUGUAAAUGUAGAAAAUAUUAAUUCUGAAAUCUUUUAUCUGUACUAUUCCAUUGGUUAAGAUUCCACUGAAAUGACAUUCCUUUCACUAUAGUGAGUUUUUUUUUUGGUGGACUAGCAUUCCAUAUACAGAUACCUUAAUAUUUCGAUAGCUAGCCUGAUUCAACAAACAGGAAGACUACAAAAAUAAUUUUUAUUCUAUGAUAAAAUGAUAUCAAAGAUGAUAUUUUUUUGACUUUGAUAUUACAUUCCUUCGUCCUUGUUUGCACUCUCUUGUGAUUCCAAUGAUCUAAUGUCUCUUGAUCUCUGAAUUAUUACGAUUAGAAUAGAAACAUUUUAUGUUUUGGUUGUGUUUUGGUAAUUCUUAUAUAUAAAGUAAUCGUUGAUUACAUUCAUUACCAAUAAAUUGAUAAUACAUGUU
rnacentral:sRNA from 1 species